UCCCUGAUGGUCUAGUGGCGAGGAUUUGGCGCUUUCACCGCCAGAGCCUGGGUUCGAUUCCCGGUCAGGGAA